CUUGGUCAUUUAGAGGAAGUAAAAGUCGUAACAAGGUCUCCGUUGGUGAACCAGCGGAGGGAUCAUUACCGAGUUUCUACUCUCAAACCCUUGCAAACCUACCUGUAACGAUGCUUCGGCGACCGGCCCUCGGGGGGGCGUCACAAACGGUCGCCGAUAGUAUUCAAAAAUCAAUUUUUUUCAGAAUCCUCUGAAUGGCCUAAAAAAACAAAUCAAAACCUUCAACAACGGAUCUCUUGGUUCUGGCAUCGAUGAAGAACGCAGCAAAAUGCGAUAAGUAAUGUGAAUUGCAGAAUUCAGUGAAUCAUCGAAUCUUUGAACGCACAUUGCGCCCGCCAGUAUUCUGGCGGGCAUGCCUGUUCGAGCGUCAUUUCAACCCUCAAGCCCCCGGGUUUGGUGUUGGGGAUCGGCGAGCCUCACGGCAAGCCGGCCCCGAAAUACAGUGGCGGUCUCGCUGCAGCUUCCAUUGCGUAGUAGUAAAACCCUCGCAACUGGUACGCGGCGCGGCCAAGCCGUUAAACCCCCAACUUCUGAAUGCUGACCUCGGAUCAGGUAGGAAUACCCGCUGAACUUAAGCAUAUCAAUAAGCGGAGGA
rnacentral:rRNA from 1 species